ACCUUUUGCUUUUGACUUCACAUCCAUUUCUUUCACCUGGGGAAAAUUCUGGAGCCCCAGGAGAGGAAAUGGAAGUGAGGUGAGAGCAGCACCUCCAGUCUGUGU